UACAGAGGUCUCAAGCGUUGUUCGGAUUCAUUGGGCGUAAAGGGUGCGUAGGCGGCGUGGUAAGUCGGAUGUGAAAUCUCGGAGCUUAACUCCGAAACUGCAUUCGAUACUGCGUGCUUGAGGACUGGAGAGGAGACUGGAAUUUAUGGUGUAGCAGGUGAAAUGCGUAGAGAUCAUGAGGAAGACCAGUGGCGAAGGCGGGUCUCUGGACAGUUCCUGACACUGAGACACGAAGGCCAGGGGAGCAAACGGG
rnacentral:rRNA from 1 species